GAGGUAGGCGGAAUUUGUGGUGUAGCGGUGAAAUGCUUAGAUAUCACGAAGAACUCCGAUUGCGAAGGCAGCCUACCAGGAUGUAACUGACGCUAAAGCUCGAAAGUGCGGGUAUCGAACAGGAUUAGAUACCCUGGUAGUCCGCACGGUAAACGAUGGAUGCCCGCUGUUGGCGAUAUACAGUCAGCGGCCAAGCGAAAGCGUUAAGCAUCCCACCUGGGGAGUACGCCGGCAACGGUGAAACUCAAAAGAAUUGACGG
rnacentral:rRNA from 1 species